CCUACGGGUCGCAGCAGUGGGGAAUAUUGGACAAUGGGCGAAAGCCUGAUCCAGCCAUGCCGCGUGUGUGAAGAAGGCCUUCGGGUUGUAAAGCACUUUCAGUGGGGAAGAAAGCCUUGGGGCUAAUACCCUCGAGGAAGGACAUCACCCACAGACGAAGCACCGGCUAACUCCGUGCCAGCAGCCGCGGUAAUACGGAGGGUGCGAGCGUUAAUCGGAAUUACUGGGCGUAAAGCGCGCGUAGGCGGUCUGAUAAGCCGGUUGUGAAAGCCCCGGGCUCAACCUGGGAACGGCAUCCGGAACUGUCAGGCUAGAGUGCAGGAGAGGAAGGUAGAAUUCCCGGUGUAGCGGUGAAAUGCGUAGAGAUCGGGAGGAAUACCAGUGGCGAAGGCGGCCUUCUGGACUGACACUGACGCUGAGGUGCGAAAGCGUGGGUAGCAAACAGGAUUAGAUACCCCGAGUAGUC
rnacentral:rRNA from 1 species